GAUGAACGUUGGCGGCGUGCCUAAUACAUGCAAGUCGAGCGAACAGACGAGGAGCUUGCUCCUCUGACGUUAGCGGCGGACGGGUGAGUAACACGUGGAUAACCUACCUAUAAGACUGGGAUAACUUCGGGAAACCGGAGCUAAUACCGGAUAAUAUAUUGAACCGCAUGGUUCAAUAGUGAAAGACGGUUUUGCUGUCACUUAUAGAUGGAUCCGCGCCGCAUUAGCUAGUUGGUAAGGUAACGGCUUACCAAGGCAACGAUGCGUAGCCGACCUGAGAGGGUGAUCGGCCACACUGGAACUGAGACACGGUCCAGACUCCUACGGGAGGCAGCAGUAGGGAAUCUUCCGCAAAGGGCGAAAGCCUGACGGAGCAACGCCGUGUGAGUGAUGAAGGUCUUCGGAUCGUAAAACUCUGUUAUUAGGGAAGAACAAAUGUGUAAGUAACUAUGCACGUCUUGACGGUACCUAAUCAGAAAGCCACGGCUAACUACGUG
rnacentral:rRNA from 1 species